UACGAAGGGGGCUAGCGUUGUUCGGAUUUACUGGGCGUAAAGCGCACGUAGGCGGAUCUUUAAGUCAGAGGUGAAAUCCCCAAGGCUCAACCUUGGAACUGCCUUUGAUACUGGGGAUCUUGAGUCCGGGAGAGGUGAGUGGAACUGCGAGUGUAGAGGUGAAAUUCGUAGAUAUUCGCAAGAACACCAGUGGCGAAGGCGGCUCACUGGCCCCGGUACUGACGCUGAGGUGCGAAAGCGUGGGGAGCAAACAGG
rnacentral:rRNA from 1 species